rnacentral:rRNA from 1 species
UGCAAGGUUAAGCAGUAAAUGUGGAGCCGUAGCGAAAGCGAGUCUGAAUAGGGCGUUUAGUAUUUGGUCGUAGACCCGAAACCAGGUGAUCUACCCUUGGUCAGGUUGAAGUUCAGGUAACACUGAAUGGAGGACCGAACCGACUUACGUUGAAAAGUGAGCGGAUGAACUGAGGGUAGCGGAGAAAUUCCAAUCGAACCUGGAGAUAGCUGGUUCUCUCCGAAAUAGCUUUAGGGCUAGCCUCAAGUGAUGAUUAUUGGAGGUAGAGCACUGUUUGGACGAGGGGCCCCUCUCGGGUUACCGAAUUCAGACAAACUCCGAAUGCCAAUUAAUUUAACUUGGGAGUCAGAACAUGGGUGAUAAGGUCCGUGUUCGAAAGGGAAACAGCCCAGACCACCAGCUAAGGUCCCAAAAUAUAUGUUAAGUGGAAAAGGAUGUGGCGUUGCCCAGACAACUAGGAUGUUGGCUUAGAAGCAGCCAUCAUUUAAAGAGUGCGUAAUAGCUCACUAGUCGAGUGACACUGCGCCGAAAAUGUACCGGGGCUAAACAUAUUACCGAAGCUGUGGAUUGUCCUUUGGACAAUGGUAGGAGAGCGUUCUAAGGGCGUUGAAGCAUGAUCGUAAGGACAUGUGGAGCGCUUAGAAGUGAGAAUGCCGGUGUGAGUAGCGAAAGACGGGUGAGAAUCCCGUCCACCGAUUGACUAAGGUUUCCAGAGGAAGGCUCGUCCGCUCUGGGUUAGUCGGGUCCUAAGCUGAGGCCGACAGGCGUAGGCGAUGGAUAACAGGUUGAUAUUCCUGUACCACCUAUAAUCGUUUUAAUCGAUGGGGGGACGCAGUAGGAUAGGCGAAGCGUGCGAUUGGAUUGCACGUCUAAGCAGUAAGGCUGAGUAUUAGGCAAAUCCGGUACUCGUUAAGGCUGAGCUGUGAUGGGGAGAAGACAUUGUGUCUUCGAGUCGUUGAUUUCACACUGCCGAGAAAAGCCUCUAGAUAGAAAAUAGGUGCCCGUACCGCAAACCGACACAGGUAGUCAAGAUGAGAAUUCUAAGGUGAGCGAGCGAACUCUCGUUAAGGAACUCGGCAAAAUGACCCCGUAACUUCGGGAGAAGGGGUGCUCUUUAGGGUUAACGCCCAGAAGAGCCGCAGUGAAUAGGCCCAAGCGACUGUUUAUCAAAAACACAGGUCUCUGCUAAACCGUAAGGUGAUGUAUAGGGGCUGACGCCUGCCCGGUGCUGGAAGGUUAAGAGGAGUGGUUAGCUUCUGCGAAGCUACGAAUCGAAGCCCCAGUAAACGGCGGCCGUAACUAUAACGGUCCUAAGGUAGCGAAAUUCCUUGUCGGGUAAGUUCCGACCCGCACGAAAGGCGUAACGAUUUGGGCACUGUCUCAACGAGAGACUCGGUGAAAUCAUAGUACCUGUGAAGAUGCAGGUUACCCGCGACAGGACGGAAAGACCCCGUGGAGCUUUACUGUAGCCUGAUAUUGAAAUUCGGCACAGCUUGUACAGGAUAGGUAGGAGCCUUUGAAACGUGAGCGCUAGCUUACGUGGAGGCGCUGGUGGGAUACUACCCUAGCUGUGUUGGCUUUCUAACCCGCACCACUUAUCGUGGUGGGAGACAGUGUCAGGCGGGCAGUUUGACUGGGGCGGUCGCCUCCUAAAAGGUAACGGAGGCGCUCAAAGGUUCCCUCAGAAUGGUUGGAAAUCAUUCAUAGAGUGUAAAGGCAUAAGGGAGCUUGACUGCGAGACCUACAAGUCGAGCAGGGUCGAAAGACGGACUUAGUGAUCCGGUGGUUCCGCAUGGAAGGGCCAUCGCUCAACGGAUAAAAGCUACCCCGGGGAUAACAGGCUUAUCUCCCCCAAGAGUUCACAUCGACGGGGAGGUUUGGCACCUCGAUGUCGGCUCAUCGCAUCCUGGGGCUGUAGUCGGUCCCAAGGGUUGGGCUGUUCGCCCAUUAAAGCGGUACGCGAGCUGGGUUCAGAACGUCGUGAGACAGUUCGGUCCCUAUCCGUCGUGGGCGUAGGAAAUUUGAGAGGAGCUGUCCUUAGUACGAGAGGACCGGGAUGGACAUACCUCUGGUGUACCAGUUGUCGUGCCAACGGCAUAGCUGGGUAGCUAUGUGUGGACGGGAUAAGUGCUGAAAGCAUCUAAGCAUGAAGCCCCCCUCAAGAUGAGAUUUCCCAACUUCGGUUAUAAGAUCCCUCAAAGAUGAUGAGGUUAAUAGGUUCGAGGUGGAAGCAUGGUGACAUGUGGAGCUGACGAAUACUAAUCGAUCGAAGACUUAAUCAA